GAUGAACGCUGGCGGCGUGCUUAACACAUGCAAGUCGAACGGAAAGGCCCAAGCUUGCUUGGGUACUCGAGUGGCGAACGGGUGAGUAACACGUGGGUGAUCUGCCCUGCACUUCGGGAUAAGCCUGGGAAACUGGGUCUAAUACUGGAUAGGACCACUUCUUGGAUGGUGUGGUGGAAAGUUUUUUCGGUGUGGGAUGAGCUCGCGGCCUAUCAGCUUGUUGGUGGGGUAAUGGCCUACCAAGGCGUCGACGGGUAGCCGGCCUGAGAGGGUGUACGGCCACAUUGGGACUGAGAUACGGCCCAGACUCCUACGGGGGGCAGCAGUGGGGAAUAUUGCACAAUGGGCGCAAGCCUGAUGCAGCGACGCCGCGUGGGGGAUGACGGCCUUCGGGUUGUAAACUCCUUUCGCUAGGGACGAAGCGUUUUUGUGACGGUACCUGGAGAAGAAGCACCGGCUAACUACGUG
rnacentral:rRNA from 1 species